GCGGAGCCCCGGGGAGCUGGAGGACGUGCACUUGCUGGAGCUCUUACUAAACCAUCUCUGGAUGAAGUGCUGUGCUGAUUGGGGUCUGCUUUAAAAUGACGGAAGAGAGGACAGUGGGCAGUGAAGCGAAGCUGGCCACGAGCUGAUAACACUCGCAGUCGAGUGGUGGCUGCCUCCUGCUGGGUUCGUCCUCCAAGCCUCUGGACCU